rnacentral:tRNA from 1 species
GCCCGGGGGGCUCAGUCGGUUGAGCGUCUGACUUCAGCUCAGGUCAUGAUCUCGCGGUUCGUGGGUUCGAGCCCCGCUUCGGGCC